rnacentral:misc_RNA from 1 species
AUGGCCAGUUUUGUUGAAAUGAGGAAGCUGGCAGAAGCGAAGGUUCAAAAUAUGAUCCGAACGAUUGUUAAGCCAAAAGAACAAAAUGGUAAUGUGGAGCCGAAGAAAGAAGAAGAUGAAAAGUUCGAAUCAACAUACAAACAAAACGAAAAUACGCAAAUUACUCCUAGUUCUUUUGGUAAAAGGCCUCUUUAUUCGAAAGUAGAUAUCAAUUGUGAUAAGUGGUUGAUGACGCUAGAUGAAGAAUCACGUUUGAAAAUCGAUAAUCCCCCCUCGCUAGUUGAUGGUCUCUCCAAGGAAACAGAAUCGGAGCUUCGAUAUCUUGGCUGUGAACUUAUACAACAAGGAGCAAUCCUUUUAAAACUUCCACAAACAGCUGCUGCUACUGGUCAAAUUUUGUUCCAACGAUAUUAUUAUCAGAAAAGCUUUGUUAGGUAUCACUUUGAGCACGCAGUUCAAGCUUGUCUACUUCUUGCAUCCAAAAUCGAAGAAGAACCUCGUAGGCCUCGAGAAGUAUACAAUGUAUUUCAUCGGCUUGAGAGACUACACAGGUUACAACAAAGUGGACAUGACAUCAAUAAACGGCUCGAAGCCAAACAUGGAUCAUCUAUUCUUCGAUGCUUUGGCUGAAAGGAGACCACACGAGGAAUGAAGCCACCCGCCGUUGAUAUGAACUACAUCAAUACGAAACAACAUAUGAUCAACUCCGAAAGAAGAAUACUUGCAACUCUGGGAUUUGUUGUUCACGUGAAGCAUCCUCAUCGCCUCAUUGUUGCUUAUGGUCACACACUCGGAAUCACACAAUCUCGUCCAGACAUUCUCCAAAGGUCCUGGAAUUACAUGAACGAUGGGCUUCGAACUGACAUCUUCAUGCGCUACAAGCCAGAGACCAUUGCUUGUGCCUGUAUUUUUUUAGCAGCCAGAACUGUCGAGAAUCCAAUCGCAUUACCUUCAACACCGUUCCAUUGGUUUGAAGCCUUCGACACAUCAGAUCGAGACGUGGAGGCAAUUGCUCUUCAACUAGUCGGGCUCUACGCAAGAAGAACAUUUCCUAACUGGCCACGUAUCAAAGCUGAAUUGGACGCAUUAAGAAGUGUGAAAGAUGCUGAAAUGAAGGCUGUGAAAGCAAAAGAAAUUGCUGAAAAUUUGGCAAAAAUGGCACCAGAUGGCGAGAAAAGUACCUCAACUGUCACUAUCGGUAAAGACAGCAGGAAGGUUUCACCAGAUAGAAAAAACGGAACAAAAGAUCGCGGAGAAGCGGAUCGAGGCAAGAAAGAGAAGGAUCGGCACAGAAGGAGAUCGAAUGAUCGAGAUGGUAGAGGUGAUCGGCGUGAUCGAGACAAGGAUCGUGGGGAUAGGCGGAAGGAUGAGAAGAAAGAUCGGAGGAAGAGAACCAGAUCACGCAGCAGGGAUCGUAAGGAUAAAAAUAGGAACCGCGACGUUGGCAAAAGAUACCGGAAGGAAAGCAGCACACCGCCAAGAUCCCGGCGAUAA